rnacentral:rRNA from 1 species
GGGUCAGUAGGUUGGUCGUGCCACCGGUACGUACUGGUCUCACUGAUUCCUCCUUCCUGAGGAACCGUAAUGCCAUUAAUUUGGUGUUGCGGGGAAACAGGACUGUUACUUUGAAAAAAUUAGAGUGUUUAAAGCAAACUAACGCUUGAAUACAUUAGCAUGGAAUAAUGAAAUAGGACGAUCGAUCCUAUUUUGUUGGUUUCUAGGAUUGACGUA